AUUGAACGCUGGCGGCAUGCCUUACACAUGCAAGUCGAACGGCAGCACGGGAGCUUGCUCCUGGUGGCGAGUGGCGAACGGGUGAGUAAUACAUCGGAACGUACCCUGAAGUGGGGGAUAACGUAGCGAAAGUUACGCUAAUACCGCAUAUUCUGUGAGCAGGAAAGAGGGGGAUCGCAAGACCUCUUGCUUUAGGAGCGGCCGAUGUCGGAUUAGCUAGUUGGUGAGGUAAAGGCUCACCAAGGCGACGAUCCGUAGCGGGUCUGAGAGGAUGAUCCGCCACACUGGGACUGAGACACGGCCCAGACUCCUACGGGAGGCAGCAGUGGGGAAUUUUGGACAAUGGGCGCAAGCCUGAUCCAGCCAUGCCGCGUGAGUGAAGAAGGCCC
rnacentral:rRNA from 1 species